UACAGAGAUCUCGAGCGUUAAUCGGAGUCACUGGGCUUAAAGCGUACGUAGGCGGACUUGCAAGCAUCUUGUGAAAUCCCUCGGCUCAACCGAGGAACUGCUUGGUGAACUGCGAGUCUUGAGGCAAGUAGAGGCUGUCGGAACGAUAGGUGGAGCGGUGAAAUGCGUUGAUAUCUAUCGGAACGCCGAAGGUGAAAACAGGCAGCUGGGCUUGUUCUGACGCUGAGGUACGAAAGCGUGGGGAUCAAACGGGAUUAGAUACCCCGGUAGUCCACGCCGUAAACGAUGUGCACUAGAUCCUGGAGGCUCUGACGUCCUCAGGGUCGAAGCAAAAGUGGUAAGUGCACCGCCUGGGGAGUACGGUCGCAAGGCUAAA
rnacentral:rRNA from 1 species